rnacentral:rRNA from 1 species
CGACGUGAGAAUCUGCCUUCAGGAUGGGGACAACAAUUGGAAACGAUUGCUAAUACCCGAUAUGACGAAAGUUGAAAGAUUUAUCGCCUGGAGAUGAGCUCGCGUCAGAUUAGCUAGAUGGUGUGGUAAAGGCGCACCAUGGCGACGAUCUGUAGCUGGUCUGAGAGGAUGAGCAGCCACACUGGGACUGAGACACGGCCCAG